GAUCUAAUUCUUCCUCGGAAGGGAGGGAGGGACUUUGCCUCUCUGUCUGGUUUAUCUUUGGCACAAGCUUGCCCGAAAGCUGGGGGUGGAAUCUCCUCAGGGGACUGUUGAGGAGAGGAGAGACCCACAGAGAGGAGUACUUCACUGAGCACUUAGCCCAGCACCCAGAGCUCGGUAAGUACUAACAGAAACAAGCAUGCUAGAAAGUAGACCUCACAAGUGCAAGAUGUCCCUGGGCCGAGACUUCAAACUCACAUCCUGAGACCCUAGCAGAGCCCAGAAAGGAGGGAUGAAGGAGGAAUUUGAAGAUUGGAGAGAGGUUAAGUGACUUCCGCAAGAUUACCCAACUGGUACUUGAAAAUCAAGAAGGACACCGUGACCUUCCCUUCUUCCUUUGAAAGCAGGGCCUGAAGGCCACGAGAGGCAGAGGCGAGCCUCCCAGCACCAGGAGGAGGGUAACUGGCUUGUUACCAGGCACAGCUGGGGAGGGGAGGGUCUACAGUGCUCACCUUCUAUUUAACCCUCAUCUUCCCACGCCACAGCUGCCACACUCUCCACCCAGCCCAUGAGCACGUGAACUUGAACUUUGUUGCCAGUGGGAGAAGUGAGACGGGGGACGCUCCUAUACGGCGCACAUUUUGGUACCACUCACAUGCCUGUCUCCCCUUAAUCUGUCGCGUGUCCAUUUCAUUCUUGGCAUGGUUAAAGACCCUGAGACAGCAGAGUGACAUCAGUCUGCUCAGGAGGAACGGUGAAUCUGUGAAAAUGCUGAGUCACAGACUGACUCCUCAUGGCCACCUGUCACUCACUGAAUAAGUCCCUGCCUCCGUGUUUAGUGCUCACCUGCCUCUGCCGACCUGUUCUUCCAUUUCACCCCUCCUCUUGUUGCUAGCGCAACGGAAUCUCAUGAGGGCCCUGGGGCCUUUGCCCAGGCUACUCCCCAUGUCUCCCCUGCUCUGAGGCAUGCAUCCUCCCCUGGGCCUCCUUUUCGUUUGUAAUGCAACUAUUUUUCAUUUCUAAUUAGUUCUUGCAUUCUUCAAGCAUUAUCUGCAAGCAUAUUUCUGAAUCCUGUUGUACUAAAAGGUUUUAAAUGACAAGAUGUAGCCGCCCUCCAGUGGCCCCCUUACCGCUCCCCAGUCUGUUUCAGAGGCAGUGCUGACAUUUAGUUAUGUUUAAACACCCACACUUCCUAAGCGUCAUUGUACUCUUUCUCCAACACCCCCCCCCCCCCACCAACACACACAUUGCAUUUUUGAGAUAGGGUCUUACUAUGGAGCCCAGAUUAAUGCUGCAUCCUCCUGCCUCAACCUUCCAAGUUUGGGACUCCUAAGUAUGGGUCAUCCCACACAACAGAGUUUUUUGUUUGGUUGUUUGGUUUGUUUAUUUUUUGAGACAGGGUUUCUCGGUAGCUUUGGGGCCUGUCCUGGGACUAGCUCUUGUUGACUAGGCUGGCCUUAAACUCACAGAGAUCUGCCUGCCUCUGCUUCCCCAGUGCUGGGAUUAAAAGUGUGUGCCACCACUGCCCGGCUCAGUUUUUUUUUUAAUGUACCAUGUGCAUGUCUGAUGCCACAUGGGGCCAGAUGGUUGUUAGCCACUGUGUGUGUGUGUGUGUGUGUGUGUGUGUGUGUGUGUAUCUAAACCCCAGUCCUCUGGGAGAGCAAGCAUUGUUCUUUACAGUUGAGCCAUCUCUCUAGCUCCCUACGCAACAGAGAUCUUGAUUUCUUCCUCUCGUUCUUGCUUCCCACCCUCUCAGCAAUCUUCACUCUUUCACUUGCUUACUUAAAAACAAAACAAAACAAAAACAAAAACCUUACUUUUCAGGGGCUUAUUAUUUCCACAUGAUGCUGCAGUGCCCCAAAAGCCAUGCAGCAGAAGCCCCAGAGUCAAGCUGUAGUGAGAAUUUUCUUGGAGAUCACCAAGUUGUUUCCCCCAGUGCUAGCUGGCCCUGGGCUGACCCCCUGGGACUGUGUCUUCAUCAGAGAAUGGCUUGCUUCAGCUUUUCCCCAGGUUUUGUCUGCCUUCUGGAGCCCCAGGCUUCCCCUCUGGUGAUCUCUUACUUAGGAGGAGUGUAGCCCCUGGAAGACGUGCCUGCCUGGAACAUUUAACACCUUAUGUUCACAGACAGCCAGGGUGGGUGUUGUUUUUGAGGCCUGGCUCAUGGACGCCACCUCUGGGUGGGCUCUGACUUCUGUACUGCACCCACUCUCCCUCCACAGCACAGGCGUUUCUAUGUGUGGCCUCUCCCCUUUGUUCCUCUUUGUCUCUGACUGCUAAGAGGCACCAGCUCCCUCCACCAUACCCUUUCCUCCAUGCCCAUGUAUCUAAAAGCAAUGGAGUCAGUUGAUUAUGGGUUGAAACCUCUGGAACCACAAGUCCCAAUCUACCGUUCAGGCCCUAGGCUGUUUACAUCAGACGUUCCGUCGCUACCACAAAAGUCACACAGAAAGGCUGGUGCUGAGAAGUGAGGUGACUUCUCUGACAGUUCUUGGCCGUGUGGUCCUGAAGGCUUCAGAACUGGUUUGCGGGAGGAAUUGGAAAAAACUUGGAGACAUGGGCUGGUGGAGCCCUGGAAUGCUGCAAGCAAGAGCUAAGUGGGCCAUUCCGGUUGAACCUCAGAGAACCAGAAUGCAAUGGGGAUGUUCCGCAGAACUGUGAGUGGAUGAACCCUUUCCUCCCCAAGUUGCUUUGGUCAUGGUGUUUACCACAGCAAUAGGAACCCUAAUUAAAAUAAGUUGGAGUGGAGUGUUGCCUUGACAGACAUGACCAUGUUGUUUUGGGUGGGACUGUGAAGGACUGUGGAACUCUGGGCUAGAAAUCCAUUGAGUGUCAAGGGCUCAGUGGGCUGUUGUGUAGGGGCUUGAAGGGAAGAAUGUUGAGAGCAGCGCAGACGGUGGAGGCCUGAUGUGGAAAGUGUAGAGCAAAGCAGACUCUGCUGGGCCAUUUGUGUGAAGGAUCCGUGGCUCUGCCCUGUUGGGGCUAAAGAACCAGCUGUGAUUAUAAAGAGAUCAGAAUUAUUCCAAGAGGGACACCCUCUUGGAAGUGUUUCCUGAGAGUAGGCGCACCGGGUCUGUGUUCCAGAAGUCAAGGUCGAACCCUGUGAUAGCAGCCGAACUUGUAGUGUAAGAGUCACCCAGAUGGUACUGGUUUGAAGACAUGAAGGGGUCGUGAGGAGCAUCUGAGGCUUGGCUCUCUGUGGCAGGGCUGGAGUGCCUGAAAAGAGUCCAGGAAAGGCUACUGGUGAACGUGCAACCCAGGUGCAGCAAGAAGCCCCACCAUUCUGGGAGAACCGGUACUGCGGGGUGAUCACCAAAAGCAGCAGCUGCAGCAGAGUGUGGUCAGAUGGAGCCUACAAGACAAGCUGUGGGGGCUGCAGAGGGCAGAGUCAGAGAUGCGACCCAAGGCCUGUGGAGGAGCCCAGAAGAUUGGGAAUGAAUCCCUGGUAAUUGGACAUUGAGUUAUUUAAACUUUAGGAGCUUGAUUUUGCUUUGUUCAGAUUGGGACUGUGCCAGUUUUUCCCUCUUGAAGUAAGAAAGUACUUCAUUUAUUUUUGAUUUUAUAAGAACCCACAAUUGAAAGAUUUUGAAUUUUAAAAGACUUUGGAUUAUAAAAGAAUGUAUAUUUUGCCACGCGGUGGUGGCGCACGCCUUUAAUCCCAGCACUUGGGAGGCAGAGGCAGGCGGAUCUCUGUGAGUUCAAGACCAGCCUGGUCUACAAGAGCUAGUUCCAGGACAGGAACCAAAAGCUACGGAGAAACCCUGUCUCGAAAAAAAAAAAAAGAAUGUAUAUUUUAAAGAGACUGAAUAUUAUUUUUAACUUUUUUAAGAUUUAUUUAUUAUGUGUAUAGUGUUCUACCUGCAUGUAUGCUUGCACACCAGAAGAGGGCACCAGAUCUCAACACACUCAUUACAGAUGGCUGUCAGCCACUAUGUGUGUUGCUGGAAAUUGAACUCAGGACCUCUUUUUGUGUGUGUGUCGUAUUUCAAGACAGUUCCUCCACAGCUUUGGAGACUGUCCUAGAACUCGCUCUGUAGACCACGCUGGCCUCAAACUCACAGAGAUUCACCUGCCUCUACCUCCCAAGUGCUGGGAUUAAAGGUGUGUGCCACCACCGCCCGGCCAACCAGUGCUCUUAGCCUCUAAGCCAUCUCUCCAGCCCCAAGAGACUGAACUUGAAGUAUUUACAAUUUUAAAGACUGUGGGACUUUUAAAUUUUAAAAUGUUCAUAUUGUAAUGUUGAUAUUAAUGUGUGAUCUUGGGAAAGAACAAUAAAAAGGCUAUGGUCUGACA